GAACCGUGCGAACGUUGUUCGGAAUCACUGGGCUUAAAGGGCGCGUAGGCGGCUUGCCAAGUCAGUGGUGAAAUCCUGCAGCUUAACUGUAGAAGUGCCUUUGAUACUGGCGAGCUAGAGCGAGGUAGGGGUCUGUGGAACUUCUGGUGGAGCGGUGAAAUGCGUUGAUAUCAGAAGGAACGCCGGUGGCGAAAGCGACGGACUGGACCUUUUCUGACGCUGAGGCGCGAAAGCCAGGGGAGCAAACGGGAUUAGAUACCCCGGUAGUCCUGGCCCUAAGCGAUGGGUACUAGGUUGUAGACUAACAUGGGUUUACAGCCGAGGCAAAAGUAUUAAGUACCCCGCCUGGGGAGUAUGGUCGCAAGGCUG
rnacentral:rRNA from 1 species